rnacentral:misc_RNA from 1 species
UUGAGCCCUGCCCUCACGGGUAGACCUCCAACCCUGUGUAUUUAUACCAUUGUUGCUUCGGCAGGCCGUCUAGGUUUCGGCCUGGCUAUGGGCUUCGGCUCGUAAGUGCCUGCCAGACGACAUUCAAACUCUGUAAUCAAUGUCGUCUGAGUAAAAAUUUAAUAAGUUA